GUCGGGAUAGCUCAGUUGGUANAGCAGAGGACUGAAAAUCCUCGUGUCGCC
rnacentral:tRNA from 1 species